UCAGACGAUGCGUCAUGCAUAUCAAUAAGCGGAGGAAAAGAAACUAACUAGGAUCCCCUCAGUAACGGCGAGUGAAGCGGAAAGAGCUCAAAUUUGAAAUCUUCAAGGUUUUACCUUGACGAAUUGUAGUUUAAAGAAGUGUUUUCUGUUGAAGUUUUGGUAAAAGUUCUUUGGAAUAGGACAUCAUAGAGGGUGAGAAUCCCGUAUUUGACCAUUAUUUUCAGCUGUGUGAUACACUUUCAAAGAGUCGGAUUGUUUGGGAAUGCAGUCCAAAAUGGGUGGUAAAUUUCAUCUAAAGCUAAAUAUUGGCGAGAGGCCGAUAGCGAACAAGUACCGUGAGGGAAAGAUGAAAAGAACUUUGAAAAGAGAGUUAAACAGUACGUGAAAUUGUCAAAAGGGAAGCGUUUGACACCAGUGUUGUUUUCUCGAAAAUCAAUUAAAAAGAGUUGGAUUUUGUGUUGUAUUGACCUUAACAGCUUGCUUCACUCUUUUCCUGCUUUUUUUAAUGCACUUUUCGUUUAACAAGUCAACAUCAGUUUCUUUUGUUGUAAAAGGGUCAUUGGAAGGUGGCUUUCUCUUCGGAGAAAGUGUUUAUAGCCUUUGAUCUCUGCAAUCGGAGAGACUGAGGUCUGCAGCGUAGAUCCUUCGGGGUUAGAUACACUUGUGCUAAGUUAUAGCCUUUUCAUAGACAACUUGUUGACUAUGUAUCGUCUUGUAAUUUACUCGCUAGUGCUAUUUUACCUACGCUUAGGAUGUUGAUAUGCAUGACUGAUAU
rnacentral:rRNA from 1 species